UAUGUAUGGUCGUUAACAUUGAUGAUUUUAUACCCAAAUCAUCCGCCCGGGAACUACGAGCGAUAGCUUAAAACCCAAAGGACUUGGCGGUGCUUUAGACCCC
rnacentral:rRNA from 1 species